CAUAUGCAUUCAGCACUUGCAUAAUCAGCAUCAGAGAUGUUUCAUCUGAGGAUGAGAAAAUAAUCAUGUCAUCUGCAUACGCCAAAUGAUUGAUCUUUGGACUCCACUUUGGCAUCCCAAAUCCACAAAAAUACAGAUGCUUGGUUAUGAACUGUUGGAUUGUUUGUUGCUGCAUUAGCUGCCACCAUUGCCAAUUGAUUAACAGGUGGACGAAUGGGAAUUGGCUCAACUUCCUGUUGCUCAUGCAUUGCAGCAUUUACAGUGCAAGGUUUCAGAAUUUU